UGGGGAAUCUUGGACAAUGGGGGCAACCCUGAUCCAGCCAUGCCGCGUGAGUGAUGAAGGCCUUAGGGUUGUAAACCUCUUUCAGCUCCGACGAAGCGAAAGUGACGGUAGGAGCAGAAGAAGCACCGGCUAACUACGUGCCAGCAGCCGCGGUAAUACGGAGGGGGUUAGCGUUGUUCGGAAUUACUGGGCGUAAAGCGCACGUAGGCGGACCAGAAAGUUGGGGGUGAAAUCCCGGGGCUCAACCCCGGAAGCUGCCUCCAAAACUAUUGGGUCUAGAGUUCGAGAGAGGUGAGUGGAAUUCCAAGUGUAGAGGUGAAAUUCGUAGAUAUUUGGAGGAACACCAGUGGCGAAGGCGGCUCACUGGCUCGAUACUGACGCUGAGGUGCGAAAGUGUGGGGAGCAAACAGGAUUAGAUAGCCCUGGUAGUCCACACCGUAAACGAUGAAUGCCAGUCGUCGGGUAGCAUGCUAUUCGGUGA
rnacentral:rRNA from 1 species